rnacentral:lncRNA from 1 species
UGAAUCAGGUGUGUGAGAAAGAGUUGUACUGCAUGGACUGGACAGUUAGAAUGAUGCAAAAAGUCUGCAAAGUCUUCAACACUGCAACAGAGAGAAAGAGCUUCCUGCAGAGCGUAGCAAAUGCCUUUGCCUGUGUCACGAUGGAAAUGCUGCAGCCCGUUAUGUCUGGAGAGCGUGAUGAUGAUGACAGAGGCUUCCUGAAUUUGUUCCAUCUUCUCCAUGCUCAGGCAAACUUCCAUAAGGAGGUGCUGUAUCUGACCAUGAAUGCUGUCUCUUCCUAAGUCAGGAAGCUUGUCUCUUAAAGAGUAUGUUCGCCUGGACUGGCAUUCAGGAGAGUGAGGCUUUUUCACAUCCAAGUAUAGCACCUAUUGGGCUCUUGAGAAUCUAAUUAACCAGAAACUCCAGUUGCACAGAACUUUGGCUGUAACUGUUUCACUUUGAUUAUUAGAAAAUAGCAGGCAAACCUAAAAAUAUAUUGCAACUUUUCUGGAAAACAAGUUCUGGCUCUCCAGGUCUUGGUAAAUAUAACAUCAAACAAAAUCAGAGUAUUAACUGUCCACGAAUCUGCAGCCGACCCGACCUAUCUAUAUGGCUGCGAAGCAAGAACUAAUUCUGCCUUAUUAAGAGCAGCUCCACACUCAAUGACUAGUGCUCUCUGUUCACUUUGCCCACGUGUUCUCUCAGGAUUUGUAAUACUAGCUUUUAGAAUGUACAUUAUGUAAGUAACAC